rnacentral:rRNA from 2 species
GGUUAAGCGACUAAGCGUACACGGUGGAUGCCCUGGCAGUCAGAGGCGAUGAAGGACGUGCUAAUCUGCGAAAAGCGUCGGUAAGGUGAUAUGAACCGUUAUAGCCGGCGAUGUCCGAAUGGGG